rnacentral:rRNA from 1 species
AUGGCGGCUGCCGGAGGUGUCGGAGUGGCCGUCUUCGUCGCGGGCGGAAGCAGCAAGCCGACAGAGGCGCCAGCAGAGGGAACGUCGACCAGUGCAGCAAGGGCGGCGGCCGGUGGUGCCGGAGUGGCCGCCGUCGUCCCGGACUUGCGGAGGUGGCCUCGGAUGGCCGGGCCUGCCCUGUGGAGGGCGAGGGCCGCCGCGGCAAGAGCAGCAGCGGGAGCUGGGGCAGCGGGCGGCGAGGCCGCCGGCUGGGAGGCAUGCGAGCUCGGCUGCAUUGUCCAGGGAGGUGGAGGAGCUCGUAGGAGGGGCGAUGGAAAGAGGACGUGUCAGAGGUCCCAGAUCUGGUCGCGGCAGGAGCAGGGGACGCCGGAGGAAGGAGAUCAGGUCGGCGCCGCCGGCGCGCUCACCCGUCCUGGGCGAGGACGCGAGAGCCUUUCUCGCACGGCCAUCUCGUAG